ensembl:lncRNA
UAUUAAACCGCAGAAAACACAGCGUGCCCCUAUUAUUAAAAAGCAACACGAGGUUGUUGCACCUUAUGCACCACGCAUGUUAGAGACGUGGGACAUAAACACAAAUAAAAAUGUACUUCCACCCCUACCUCCUCUUCCUAUUAAACCGCAGAAAACACAGCGUGCCCCUAUUAUUAAAAAGCAACACGAGGUUGUUGCACCUUAUGCACCACGCAUGUUAGAGACGUGGAAAUAUUAACAGCAGUAAAAUAUAAAUAACACCCCCCCCCCCCCCCCCCCCCCAACCGGUUGCAGCAGAUAGCCGCCCCUCCCUGAGCCUGGAUCUGCUGGAGGUUUCUUCCUGUUAAAAGGGAGUUUUUCCUUCCCACUGUCGCCAUGUGCUUGCUCAUAGGGGGUCAUUUGAUUGUUGGGGUUUUUUUUUUUUCACAACAACAGUUGUGAAAAUAUUCACAACUGUUGUUGUGAAAAUAUAACUGUUGUUGUGAAAAUAUUCACAACAACAGUUAUAUUGCAAAGUCUUCACCAUCCAUCAGCCAUUACAAUACAAAUAAUAAAAAUCUUGAAAUACAUAAAAAUGUUGAUGUUUGAUUUUG